AAUUUUGCGCAAUGGGCGAAAGCCUGACGCAGCAACACCGCGUGAAUGUUAAGCCCUUCGGGGUGUAAAGUUCUGUCAGUGGGGACGAAACUUGACGGUACCCACAAAGGAAGCACCGGCUAACUCCGUGCCAGCAGCCGCGGUAAUACGGGGGGUGCAAGCGUUGUCCGGAAUCAUUGGGCGUAAAGCGUUCGUAGGCGGUAUAUCAAGUCUGGUGUUAAAGCCCGGGGCUCAACUCCGGUUCGGCACUGGAUACUGGUAAACUAGAAUGUGGUAGAGGUAAGGGGAAUUCCCAGUGUAGCGGUGAAAUGCGUAGAUAUUGGGAGGAACAUCGGUGGCGAAAGCGCCUUACUGGGCCAUAAUUGACGCUGAGGAACGAAAGCCGGGGGAGCAAAUGGG
rnacentral:rRNA from 1 species